rnacentral:rRNA from 1 species
GACGAACGCUGGCGGCGUGCUUAACACAUGCAAGUCGAACGGCAACGCACUACUUUUGUGGGCUUCCGGAGUGGCGAUCGCGUGAGUAAGACGUGAAUAACCUGACCUACUCUUUGGGGUAACUUCAGGAAACUGGGGCUAAUAUCAGAUAGGAUAUCCUGUUCCGUGGUGGGGGUGGGAUCGUUUCGGCGGGCGGGGAUGGACGCGCGGGUUAUCAACUAGUUGGUGGGGUAGGUGCUGACCCAGCCAUUGACGGGUCGCCGGCAUGAGAGGGUGGCCGGCCACAAUGGGACUGAGAUAGGGCGCAGACUGCUACGGUAGGCAGCAGGGGGGAGUAUUGCACAAUGGGCGGAAGCCGGAUGAAGAGACGCUGCGUGCGGGAUGACGGUCUUCGGGUUGUGAACCGCUUUAGGCUGUGACGACGCGGGAGUGACGGUAACGGGUAAAGAAGCACCGGCUAACUACGUG